rnacentral:pre_miRNA from 1 species
UUUGAAAUAAAUAGUGAGUAGCUGACUUGGGAAAGUGAUCAACCAUUGGGAUAAAAUUAAAUUUGCUUCUUUUUACCCCAAAUUUUUUUUACCGUGGGUAAAAAGAAUCUUCUUAGGGUUUAAAAAGAACCAGAUUUAGAUUUAACCCAAGGAUUGAUGAUGUUUUUUCCCCAAGAAUGCUGCUCACUAUUUACCCCAAA